GGAUUAGGCAUGCAAGUCGCACGAGAAAGGUUUCUUCGGAAGCCGAGUACAGUGGCGAACGGGUGAGUAAUGCAUAGACAACUCGCCCUUGAGAUGGGGACAACGCCUCGAAAGGGGUGCUAAUACCCAAUGCCGCCUUGGGCCCGCGGGUCCAGGGUGAAAGGAGGCCUCUGAUUCAAGCUUCCGCUCAAGGAGAGGUUUAUGUCCUAUUAGCUAGUUGGCGGGGUAACGGCCCACCAAGGCUGCGAUGGGUAGCCGACCUGAGAGGGUGACCGGCCACAUUGGGACUGAGACACUGCCCAGACUCCUACGGGAGGCUGCAGUCGAGAAUCUUCCGCAAUGCGCGCAAGCGUGACGGAGCGACGCCGCGUGGGUGAUGAAGGCCUUCGGGUUGUAAAACCCUGUCAGCUACUACGAAACACGGGCGAUGAACAAUCGUCCCGUCUGACUUAAGUAGCAGAGGAAGCACCGGCUAACUACGUGCCAGCAGCCGCGGUAAUACGUAGGGUGCAAACGUUGUUCGGAAUCACUGGGCAUAAAGGGCGCGUAGGCGGUCUGAUAAGUCAGGUGUGGAAUCCCUCGGCCUAACCGAGGAACUGCAUUUGAUACUGUCGGGCUAGAGUACAGGAGGGGAGAGUGGAAUUCCUGGUGGAGCGGUGAAAUGCGUAGAUAUCAGGAGGAACACCGGCGGCGAAAGCGACCCUCUGGCCUGUUACUGACGCUGAGGCGCGAAAGCUAGGGGAGCAAACGGGAUUAGAUACCCCGGUAGUCCUAGCCCUAAACGAUGGGCACUAAGUAGAGGGGUUUU
rnacentral:rRNA from 1 species